GAUCCGCCCUUCGGGGUGGUGAAAGUGGCGCACGGGUGAGUAACGCGUGGAUAAUCUGCCCGAGGAUUUGGGAUAACAUCUCGAAAGGGGUGCUAAUACCGAAUAAGCCCACGGGGUCUACGGAUCUUGCGGGAAAAGGGGGGGACCUUCGGGCCUCCUGUCCUUGGAUGAGUCUGCGUACCAUUAGCUAGUUGGUGGGGUAAUGGCCUACCAAGGCGACGAUGGUUAGCUGGUCUGAGAGGAUGAUCAGCCACACUGGAACUGAGACACGGUCCAGACUCCUACGGGAGGCAGCAGUGGGGAAUUUUGCGCAAUGGGGGAAACCCUGACGCAGCAACGCCGCGUGGGUGAUGAAGGCCUUCGGGUCGUAAAGCUCUGUCUGGAGGGAAGAAAUGAUUGGGAGCUAAUACCUCUUGAUCUUGACGGUACCUCUGAAGGAAGCACCGGCUAACUCCGUGCCAGCAGCCGCGGUAAUACGGAGGGUGCAAGCGUUGUUCGGAAUUAUUG
rnacentral:rRNA from 1 species